GUUGUGUACACCUGAGAUUGUAUUUUCUUUCAUCCACCUGUUAUAACCCUGAUUCUGUAUCAGAACAUUUCUCUUCUCCUUCAUGAAGGUCAGGUGCACAUACAGAGCUGCGAGAUGCUCCUGAAUGCUCAGAUGAACAAAGCAGUACACUUUACUGUGGUGAAGCCCAAACUCCUCUCUGAAGAUCUGAG